rnacentral:sRNA from 1 species
GUUUCUUAUCUAAAUAAAGAAACUUUGGCUCUUUCUGUUUCUUUAUCUCAUAGCGGGGGUAUUGUUACUGAUCAUUGGCUAGCAGAUACAUGUGAUUUUUUUCUGUUUCACAUUUUAUGCAUGUGUUCUUCUCCAUACAAUUUUGUUGUGUAUGAAAUAUCAUUUGUUUUAAAAAAAAACUUCCACUGCUCCUUUAACUGUUAUUAUUAUUCAUUGAUAUUGCAUUUAAUAUAUCGCUAAUCUGUUUGUUUAUCCUAUUGGUGAAAAAUUACUUUACAUCUACAUAGUUACUAGAUUCUGCCUCACCAAAGACAGCGUUCUCUGUUUUACAAAAGUAAUAAUUUCUUGGUUAAUUCAUACUUUAUCUAUAGUUCAUCUUUGUUAAAUAUGUGACUAAUCAAACGUUAAUAAAUCUCUAUCACAAACAG